CAAGUCGAGCGCCCCGCAAGGGGAGCGGCAGACGGGUGAGUAACGCGUGGGAAUCUACCCUUUUCUACGGAAUAACGCAUGGAAACGUGUGCUAAUACCGUAUACGGCCGAGAGGCGAAAGAUUUAUCGGAGAAGGAUGAGCCCGCGUUGGAUUAGCUAGUUGGUGGGGUAAAGGCCUACCAAGGCGACGAUCCAUAGCUGGUCUGAGAGGAUGAUCAGCCACACUGGGACUGAGACACGGCCCAGACUCCUACGGGAGGCAGCAGUGGGGAAUAUUGGACAAUGGGCGCAAGCCUGAUCCAGCCAUGCCGCGUGUGUGAUGAAGGCCCUAGGGUUGUAAAGCACUUUCACCGGAGAAGAUAAUGACGGUAUCCGGAGAAGAAGCCCCGGCUAACUUCGUGCCAGCAGCCGCGGUAAUACGAAGGGGGCUAGCGUUGUUCGGAUUUACUGGGCGUAAAGCGCACGUAGGCGGACUAUUAAGUCAGGGGUGAAAUCCCGGGGCUCAACCCCGGAACUGCCUUUGAUACUGGUAGUCUUGAGUUCGAGAGAGGUGAGUGGAAUUCCGAGUGUAGCG
rnacentral:rRNA from 1 species